rnacentral:rRNA from 1 species
GGGGGGGGGGGGGGGGGGGGGGGGGGGGGGGGGGGGGGGGGGGGGGGCCCGGCGGGGGGGGGGGGCUCGGGUGGCGGGCGGGGGCGUAGCGCGGGCGGGGCCUGCCGGUGCCUUUGGGAUGCCUUCGGGGAGCUGGGGCUACUACCGGCUGGGAGCUCCUGCUGCCGGGUGGGGGUUGGGCCGCUUCGGCGGUUGGGGAUGGACUCGCGCCUGCUCAGCUGGUUGGGGGGGUAGUGGCUUACCACGGCUUUGACGGGUAGCCGGCCUGAGCGGGUGACCGGCCACAGUGGGAGUGAGAUACGGCCCAGACUCCUACGGGCGGCAGCAGUGGGGAAUAGUGCGCAAUGGGCGGAAGCCUGAUGCAGCAACGCCGCGUGCGGGAUGACGGCCUUCGGGUUGUAAACCGCUUUCGCCUGUGACGAAGCGUGAGUGACGGUAAUGGGUAAAGAAGCACCGGCGAACUACGUG